GCCUACGGGGGGCAGCAGUGGGGAAUAUUGCACAAUGGGGGAAACCCUGAUGCAGCGACGCCGCGUGAGUGAAGAAGUAUUUCGGUAUGUAAAGCUCUAUCAGCAGGGAAGAUAAUGACGGUACCUGACUAAGAAGCCCCGGCUAACUACGUGCCAGCAGCCGCGGUAAUACGUAGGGGGCAAGCGUUGUCCGGAAUUACUGGGUGUAAAGGGAGUGUAGGCGGGGAAGCAAG
rnacentral:rRNA from 1 species